UACGUAGGGUGCGAGCGUUAAUCGGAAUACUGGGCGUAAAGCGUGCGCAGGCGGCGCGUUAAGACAGGUGUGAAGGCCCCGAGCUUAACUUGGGAAUUGCGCUUGUGACUGGCGUGCUGGAGUGUGGCAGAGGGAGGUGGAAUUCCACGUGUAGCAGUGAAAUGCGUAGAGAUGUGGAGGAACACCGGAUGGCGAAGGCAGCCUCCUGGGCCAGCACUGACGCUCGAUGCACGAAAGCGUGGGGAGCAAACAGG
rnacentral:rRNA from 1 species